AUCACAGUGAGCGGUAGAGAACGAGUGGUGGUUCAUCUCCGAAGCAUCGCGAGCGCUCACCGCGAACUCUUCUUCUUCGACCCUCCUCUCCGCUUCUUCUCCACGAAGGGGUCGCCUGAGAUCACAAAAAAAAAAAUGGUGAAUGCCGUCGCUGUUCUGGGUAGCAACGAGGGUGUCAAAGGCACAAUCUACUUCACCCAGGAAGGAGAUGGUCCAACAACUGUGACUGGGAGCAUAUCCGGCCUCAAACCGGGGCUUCAUGGCUUCCAUGUCCAUGCACUUGGUGACACUACCAACGGCUGCAUGUCAACCGGGCCACAUUUCAAUCCUGCUGGGAAGGAACAUGGGGCGCCCGAAGAUGAGCACCGCCAUGCUGGUGAUCUCGGAAAUGUGACUGCUGGCGAGGAUGGCACGGCUACUUUCACUAUAGUGGACAACCAGAUUCCACUUACUGGACAAAAUUCGAUCAUCGGGAGAGCUGUCGUUGUUCAUGCUGAUCCUGAUGAUCUCGGAAAGGGUGGACAUGAGCUUAGCAAGACCACUGGAAAUGCUGGCGGAAGAGUUGCUUGUGGCAUUAUUGGACUUCAGGGGUAGGCCCAGCUCCUACAAUACAUUGACGAGAAGUAAAUGGGGGAAAAGAUUUCUCUUGUACUUGGAACUCUCUUUGAAGUUUCCCUUUAGCUUUGUGCUGGAACCAUUAGAUACGUAAUAUUUCAGUUAGAAACCGCACUCUUCGAGCGCAGGGAUCGGCGCGGCUCGUGCCAGAUACUGAAGAGAGUAAAGCUAAGAACAACAACCUUCUUAUACUCUGGAACUAUCAUUGUUGGAAAACUAAGGCAUAUGCUUGAGUUGAGUGAGGAUCAUAAUCUUGUGCUAUAUCUGUAUACAUACUAUUUUUCCCUAAUAAAUUUGUUUCUUGCUCAGCUUUCA